rnacentral:sRNA from 1 species
GAGGAAAAGUGUCUCACGGCGAGACAUUUUCGUGCGAGGCAACUGCCCGUCCAAGGCCGAUGUGCGGUGCAGCAGCUUAGCGGCAACGCAUGUCGAACAGCGUGAGUUCGCAGGGGAACAAACCCUCGCGUAAUGGUUGGUCGAUGAAGACCCAAGUCGGUCGGGCUGUCGCGGACCAUUCGGCCGCUUCGUUAAGCUCGGACAGGCG